GUGGUUGUAAAAUAUGCAGAUAACAACCACGCCUUUAUUUCAUCAUAAUGGUUAGGAGCACACGCUCCAGGUAAAUCCUGGUCCUUCUUGGUGGCUGUAUGAUCUUAACAACAAAACCAAGCCUUUGUGCACAUCUGUGGUUGUGACCAGUUGGAGAGACAUUAGGAGAUGAGAUACUAUGUUCACUCCUCACAGCUGUACCAGGGACCUGAGAUAUUCCGUCACUAUUCUAUGAGAUUUUGGAGAUCCCACCAGUGGUUUUCCGGUGCCAGGGUAUGAGAAGAUAGUCUCCAUGUCCAAACUCACAAUUUCAGAACAAAUUUCAUCAAGAUAAAGGCCUGGGCUGGUGAAUGGUUCCUGCUUUCACUAUUCCAGAUGUCCAGCUCUGUACCUUGCUGCUCUCCUUAAAGCCUGCCUCCCUCUAGAUGGUCUGGCUUGAUGAUAUCCAACCUGACGUGGCCUGAAGAGACAGACAGUGGCUCUUGCUAGCUAAUUAUUGUCAGAUGGAUCGGCAGCCGACCAACGCUUCUGAAACUAUUGUUUUUGGCAAAUGUUCCUCAACAUUUUCCUGGGAGCUAUGGUGCAUUACUCACGAGUGACAGAACCAACGAGCUUCAUCUCCCAAGAGGCUGGUGCAUCUGUUUAAAGGAGCAGGCACUAGGCAGAGCAGCCCCCACCCCACCCUCCAUGGCAGAGUGCAGUGGGGGAAGGGAUGGGAUUUCACCAUGUUGUCCAAGCUGGUUUUGAACUCCUGGGGUCAAGAAAUCCACCUGCUUCGGCCUCCCACAGUGCUGGGAUUACAGAUGGGGAAACUGAGGCACAGAGAGGUUAGAGAUAUGCCUGAAGCCACACAGCUUGCAAGUGGUGGAUCUGGGAUUUGAACUUGUCGAUCUGGCUGCAGAGCUGAGCUCUUGGAGACUAGGUUUUACUGCCUAGUAGCAUGUAAGCCUGGAACUGCCGGCAGUCAUUUUGUAAGUUUGCCGAGUGAACCUCAAUGAGCAUGAAGCAGAGAGGAAAGCAGUACUAAGAGAUGCAAAAGAGUCUGUGUUCCAGCAAUGGGAUCUGAAGUCCUGGAUCAAACCUUACCUGGAGACAAGAUUUACCCAUCAGACAUGCCAGUUAUAAGACCCAAAUUUACCCUUUUUGGGGGAUUGAGUUUGAAUGAGUAUUUUUGUUUGUUUGUUUUGGCAUCAGAAAGACUCCUGAUUAAUACACAGUGUGACGCUGACCAAGAUGCUUCCUUUCUCUAGGACUCAAUUUUCUUAUCUGUAAAGUAAAGGGUUCAUCAACA
ensembl:lncRNA novel transcript